rnacentral:rRNA from 1 species
AGAGCGAACGCUGGCGGCAGGCUUAACACAUGCAAGUCGAGCGGGCGUAGCAAUACGUCAGCGGCAGACGGGUGAGUAACGCGUGGGAACAUACCUUUUGGUUCGGAACAACACAGGGAAACUUGUGCUAAUACCGGAUAAGCCCUUACGGGGAAAGAUUUAUCGCCGAAAGAUUGGCCCGCGUCUGAUUAGCUAGUUGGUGAGGUAACGGCUCACCAAGGCGACGAUCAGUAGCUGGUCUGAGAGGAUGAUCAGCCACAUUGGGACUGAGACACGGCCCAAACUCCUACGGGAGGCAGCAGUGGGAAUAUUGGACAAUGGGCGCAAGCCUGAUCCAGCCAUGCCGCGUGAGUGAUGAAGGCCCUAGGGUUGUAAAGCUCUUUUGUGCGGGAAGAUAAUGACGGUACCGCAAGAAUAAGCCCCGGCUAACGUUCGCGCCAGCAGCCGC